GUGACUUGUCAAGGGUCACACAGCUAGUAUGUCUCUGAAACUAGAUUUGCACUUAGGAAGAGGAGUCUUCUUGACUCCAGGACUGGUGCUCUACCCACUUUGCCAUGUAGCUACAUAUAUAUUGAUAUAUUUAUAUAUGUGUGUAUGUGUGUGUGUUUAUACAUAUACAUAUCACACACAUAUGUAUCCAUCUAUCCAGGAUAAAUUGGAGAUAACAAAGAACAAAGGCAUUAGAGUUCAGAGGGAUGGGGAAAGACUUCUUGUAGAAGGAGGGACUUGAAGGAAGUCUUUAGUCCAUCACCCUAACCUCAAGGAUAUGGACCUCAAGAUGGGCAGCACUCUAGAAUCCACUCUAGAAUUGUGCUUGAUCCUAUGGUUCCUAAGAGCAGAGACUUUUUGUAUUUGUGUCUGGGUUGUCUAGGAGAUGGAGGUAAAAAGGAAGGAUUGCAGGCAAUAUAUGAUGACCAAUACAGAGGCACUCUUAGAGAAAGAAUGUCCUGAAUGAAGAAAAGAGAGAAGACCACUUUGGCUAUAUGAUGGUGUACAGGGGAAUAAGGAGAAACGUUCCCCAGAUCCUUUGAUUGUACUUCUGAGACGUUAUCUUGGUCACCCUCUCCUGGACCCGAUCCAGUUUGUUAGUGUCUCUUAAACUGGAGGGACCAGCUUUCUUCACUGUCUGUAAUCCAUUGUGGGCUUCUCAUAGAGCAAUCUGGCAAUGUCCAAUGAAUGAGUCACAGUAAUUUCAAUACAAAAAAGAAGAAGAAAAAACAACUUAUGUGUCCAAUGAAUCUUUGGUGUCUCUCAUUUCAUACCUAAAUAAAAUUUUGCCAUCC